rnacentral:ribozyme from 3 species
UUUUUUUUUUUUUUUUUUUUUUUUUUUUUUUUUUUUUU